rnacentral:rRNA from 1 species
CAACGGAUAUCUCGGCUCUUGCAUCGAUGAAGAACGUAGCAAAAUGCGAUACUUGGUGUGAAUUGCAGAAUCCCGUGAACCAUCGAGUCUUUGAACGCAAGUUGCGCCUGAAACCAUUAGGUUGAGGGCACGUCUGCCUGGGUGUCACACAAUGUUGUCC